CGUUUGUUGUUUAUUUCCUGAUUUAAUGAAAGAACAUUGAAUGGAUUCUGAAUGUAAGCGGUUUGAAUUCUGUGUCUGUCAUAAGAAGAUGAACUUCCUCCUCGGAGACGAACUGGACCAGCGUUUUAUCUGCUGCUGCAGGUCUUCAGCUGCGGUAUCUGUCUGAACAUUUCAGGGCGUCGACAGAACGGCUGAAUGCUCCCAUCCUGAAAUGACGCAGAAGAUAAAACGGAGCUUAGCAGGUCCAGGACAACGGACCGGUUCCGUCAUGUGUCAGAACUUCUGCUCUUCAGUCUGAUCUGCAGCCGCUCUCUGACCCGAUCAAAGCUUCAGAACCGAGCGUUUGGACUCACAGCCCGUUUCCCCCAUGAGCUGCUGGCCGUCUGGGAUGUGGCUCAGGCUGGAGCUGCUGGAGCCCAUCCUGCUGCCGCCGCCGUCGAGGUGAUCUCCAGUUCUGACAGACGAGCGCUGACCAGCAGGGGGCGACGGCGAGGGGCGGUCUGAAGGGACAGGAAGCUGCUUUAUGCAAAUCCAAGUCUGACUUCAUUCAAGACGAGGAGAAACGAGGAAGAGAUCAUCAUGCCACGCCGUCUCCAUGGCAACCAUGUAGAGAAAAUGACCUUUUUCUGGAAGAAUUAAAAUGUUUCCGACACUC